CCUACGGGAGGCAGCAGUGGGGAAUAUUGGACAAUGGGCGCAAGCCUGAUCCAGCCAUGCCGCGUGUGUCGCUGAAGGCCUUCGGGUUGUAAAGCACUUUUGUCCGGAAAGAAAUCCUGUCAACUAAUACGUGGCGGGGAUGACGGUACCGGAAGAAUAAGCACCGGAU
rnacentral:rRNA from 1 species